rnacentral:rRNA from 1 species
UACAGAGGGCGCGAGCGUUGUCCGGAAUCACUGGGCGUAAAGGGCGCGUAGGUGGCCACCAUAAGGCCGCGGGUGAAAAGUCUAGGGCCUCAACCCUAAGAUCUGCCCGCGGCGACUUGUGGGGCUAGGGCACCGUAGAGGCAGAUGGAAUUCCGGGUGUAGCGGUGGAAUGCGUAGAUAUCAGGAGGAACACCGGUGGCGAAGGCGGGUCUCUGGGCCGAUGACUGACGCUGGAGGAGCGAAAGCGUGGGGAGCGAACAGG